rnacentral:rRNA from 1 species
CGCUGGCGGCGUGCUUAACACAUGCAAGUCGAACGCGAAGGGACUUCGGUCCUGAGUAAAGUGGCGCACGGGUGAGUAACGCGUAGAUAACCUGUCUUCAUGUCUGGAAUAAUACGCCGAAAGGGGUACUAAUACCGGAUAUUCUUGCUUUUCAUAAGUUAUGCAAGCAAAGGUGGCCUCUGCAUAUGCUACUGCAUGAAGAGGGGUCUGCGUACCAUUAGCUAGUAGGUGGGGUAAUGGCCUACUUAGGCGACGAUGGUUAGCGGGUCUGAGAGGAUGAUCCGUCACACUGGCACUGGAACACGGGCCAGACUCCUACGGGAGGCAGCAGUGAGGAAUAUUGCGCAAUGGGGGAAACCCUGACGCAGCGACGCCGCGUGAGUGAGGAAAGGCCCUCGGGUCGUAAAGCUCUGUCAAGAGGAAAGAAGUGUACAAUGGCUAAUACCUGUUGUAUUUGACGGUACCUCUAAAGGAAGCACCGGCUAACUCCGUGCCAGCAGCUGC